AUGUCCACUGAGCUGUCUACGGCUCCCUGCGACACAUGAAGAUCCUGAGGGAGGAAACGAGAACAUCGAUAUUGGCCAGAAAAUGAGUCACAAAAGUCUUCAUGGGUGACUUCAUCUCUGCAGGACAACAAUGGCAACAGUUCAAUUAAGUGCAGCUUCAAGACUACAACUGAAGUUGAACUGCCACAAGUCUGUCUCAAAGCUGGUCAGAUUUGUUGUUUGCUCUUGUCCUCCAGGAAGUUCUGGCAUCAAAGUCCAGUAACUACUGUGGACGCUACUUUAGUUGGAUCUGCCAUUUCCUUGACACCUAAAGACGUGCAUGUGAGUGAUCUGUUCUCUGGCAGCCAUGUUGGAGGCCCUCAGCUCGUGGCAAUGAUUGCUGACAAUGGAUCGCUGCAUUAAUCAACAUUUUUCUCUGCAGCAUAGUAGAUACGGUCAAUUUUUGUUGUAGUUCUGACCAGGAACUCACUAAUCGCUCGCCACCUGUUGGCUAACAAUCAGCGUCUUUUGUUAAUAUGUCUUAUUUUACGCCAUAUGGUACAUAGCUUGGCUAGAAAGUUACAGAUAACAUUAGUAUCAGUUGCUUUACUACAAUAAAGAUCUAUUUCAAUACCAUUAUUGUGAAUCUUGUGUCAGUUUUUUUGUAGCUGUAUUUGUACAGGCAAAAAUGUCUGAGGCUGGCUGAGUUCU